rnacentral:rRNA from 1 species
AAUCUCGUGCCAGCCACCGCGGUUAUACGAGGGACCUAAGUUAAUAUACACAGCCCAAAGGGCAGUUAAAUAUACAGCAAAAUAAAAUUAAAAAUCUUCUAAGCUGUCAUACGCAAAAUAAUUAUAAAACCAAAGACGAAAGUUAUUUUAUAAAUGUUGAAGCUGCUACAAUUAAGAGACAAACUGGGAUUAGAUACCCCACUAUGCUUUAUUUUAAACUUUGGAAGCCCUCGCUAGAGUACUACAAGCCACAGCUUAAAACUCAAAGGACUUGGUGGUGCUCUACACCCACCUAGAGGAGCCUGUUCUAUAAUCGAUACCCCCCGAUAAACCUCACCUCUUUUUGCUAAUUCAGCCUAUAUACCACCGCCCCCAGCUCACCUCUUAAGAGAAUAACAGUAAGCAAAAUAAUUUUAAAUAAAAAAGUCAGGUCAAGGUGUAGCACAUAAAAAGGAAAGAAAUGGGCUACAUUUUUUAUUUUUAAAAAAUACGGAAUAUUUUAUGAAAUAAAAUACAAAGGAGGAUUUAGAAGUAAAAAGAAAAGAGAGAGUUCUUUUUAAGCCGGCAAUAGAGUGCGCACACACCGCCCGUCACCCUCUUUUAAAAAUAAUAAAUUAAAUAAAUAUGCCCACUAAGAAUAGAGGAAAGUCGUAACAUGGUAAGUCCACCGGAAGGCGGCCUUGGAUA